rnacentral:rRNA from 1 species
GACGAGGGAUCCUAGCGUUGUUCGGAAUCAUUGGGCGUAAAGCGGGUGCAGGUGGCUUUGUAAGUCAGGUGUGAAAUCUCGAGGCUUAACCUCGGACGUGCAUUUGAUACUGCAAAGCUUGAGUGUGGGAGAGGCUAUUAGAAUUCCAGGUGUAGUGGUGAAAUACGUAGAUAUCUGGAGGAAUACCGGAGGCGAAGGCGGAUAGCUGGCCCAACACUGACACUCAGACCCGAAAGCGUGGGGAUCAAACAGG